AUGGCGCCUGUCGUUAGCGCUACACUCGGCGCCUUGGGUCCCCUGCUGGUGAAGCUCGGCGGCCUGCUCGCUGGCGAGUAUGGCCGCCUCAAAGGGGUCCGCCGGGAGAUUCGCUCCCUCCAAUCUGAGCUCACAAGCAUGCAUACUGCGUUGGAGGAGUACACCAAGCUGGAAGAUCCAAGUGGCCAAGUGAAGGCAUGGAUAUCACUGGUGCGGGAGCUGGCAUAUGAUACCGAGGACAUCUUCGACAAGUUCAUCCAUCACCUUGGUAAGCGUGGUCAUCGUGGUGGUUUCAAGGACUUCUUGCGCAAGAUAACUCUCCCUCUGAAGACACUUGGAGCUCGGCAUGAAAUCGCCGACCAAAUCGAUGACCUGAAGGAUCGCAUCAAGCAACUGAAAAAGCAUGAAAUCGCCAACCAAAUCGAUGACCUGAAGGAUCGCAUCAAGCAAGUGAAAAAGCUCAAGGAUAGUUACAAGUUGAAUGAUGCUCCUUCUAGCACAACUCGCCAUACAGCCGUGGAUCCCCGGCUGCAUGCGCUCUUUGCUGAAGAGGCACACCUUGUGGGCAUGGAUGGUCCAAGGGAUGAUCUUGCCAAGUGGAUGGUGGAAGAAGAAAACAACUCAUCCAAACCUCGCAAGGUGUUGUCUAUUUAUGGUUUUGGUGGAUUGGGAAAAACAACAUUGGCAAAUGAGGUCUAUCGCAAGAUUCAAGGGCAAUUUUAUUGUAAGGCUUUCGUAUCGGUCUCGCAAAAACCAGAUAUUAAAAAAAUUAUGAAGGAUGUGAUCUCUCAAGUGUCAUGCCAAGAUGGAUACACAAAAGAUUCCAGUGAUUGGGAUGAGAUGAAGUCCAUUGCAAAGUUAAAAGAACUACUGCAAAAUAAAAGGUAUCUGAUCAUCAUUGAUGAUGUAUGGUCAACACAAGCAUGGAACACUAUAAAGUGUGCCUUUCCGGAGAAUAAUUGUUUGAGUGGAAUUAUAGUUACUUCACGCAUCAUUGGGGUAGCAAAGUCAUGUUGUUCUGGUGGUGAUGACUGCAUGUAUAAACUAGAAGCCUUAAGUGAUUUCCACUCUCGAAGAUUGUUUUUCAAGAGAAUGUUUGGCUCUGAGGAAUAUUGCCCUUCCAUGUUGGAAGAAGUUUCAAAUAAAAUCCUAAAAAAAUGUGGAGGCCUACCAUUGGCAAUUAUAAGUAUAGCUGGUUUACUAGCAAACCGACCAGCUAUCAAGGAAGAGUGGGAGAAGGUUAAGAGGUCAAUUGGUUCUGCACUACAAAAGGGCCGAAGUUUGGAGGGAAUGUGUAGCAUUUUAUCCCUUAGCUACAAUGAUCUUCCACCUAAUCUCAAGACCUGCUUAUUGUAUUUAAGUGUAUUCCCUCAGGAUUAUGUGAUUGAUAGAGAGAGGCUAGUGAGGCUAUGGAUAGGAGAAGGCUUUAUCCCAGAAGAGCCUGGACAGAGCCGGCAAGAGGUUGCCGAGAACUACUUUUAUGAGCUUAUCGACAAAAACAUUGUCCAACCAGUGGACAUUGGGUGUGAUGGUAAGGUUCGUGCCUGCCGGGUCCAUGGCAUGAUGCUUGAAAUUAUUAUUUCAAAAUCGGCUGAAGAUAAUUUUGUCACUGUGGUAGGGGAAGGGCAAAGAAGUUUGGUAAAUCGUCAGGGUUUUAUUCGGCGACUAUCAGUUCAGCACAUUAGCCGCGAGCUAGCAGAUGCAUUGGCAUGUAUGGAUUUAAGUCAUGUUCGAUCUCUGACAGUAUCAUCAUCAGCUUGCCUCAACCACUUCCCUAGUCUUGAUAACUUUGAAGCUCUGCGUGUGCUAGAUUGUGAAGACUGUGAGGGUUUGGCAGAGUUUGUUAUGAACGGCAUGGGUAAGUUAUUCAAACUAAAGUACUUGAGCCUUGGGGGAAAGAUCAUAUCAAAGCUACCACCGGCAGUUACAAUGUUACCUGGUCUAGCGUUUGCAGAGCUUAGUGGCACGGAUAUAGCAAGCUUACAGCCCGAGCCAGAGAUUGUGAUGCUACAUGAUCUUAUGGAGACAUGCUUACAUGAGUUGCCACUUACUAGAAUUGUUCGGCUCAUUACAUUACAACAUCUGCUCAUUUCAAGUGAGUCAUGGACUCAAAAAAGAAAAUGGAAGAUACCAGUUGGAAUUGAGAAUAUGAGAGAUUUAUUGGAACUGUCUGGUUUCAGCGUUAGCAGCAGUUCGUUAGGUGCAGUGCAGCAUCUCGGUUACCUGAGCAGUUUGACAAAACUUUGUAUACAGUUAUAUGAUGGAGGACCUGAAGAGGAUAAGAGGCAUGAAGAAGCGUUACUCUCCUCGCUAUGCAAGCUUGGCACCUGGAAACUUCGGUAUUUAUGGAUACACAAGCUCCGUGGUUCCCUUGAGUUCUUGAACACUUGGUCCCCUCCGCCGUUAUCCAUUGAAAUAUUUCGUAUAUCUGGCGACUCCUGGUUCACGAAUAUUCCGAAAUGGAUUGCACCAGAACUCACCAAUCUUCUUCACCUAGAGAUCAGCUUAACUGAACUGAGGCAGGAAGGACUGCGGACUCUUGGGAAUCUCCCAGGCUUACUUCAUCUGAAACUGUCUUUGGUAGCAGAACCAGUUGAAAGGAUCACAGUGGAAGGCGUUGGAUUUCCAAAUCUGAAGAAGUUUGUCAUCUAUAGUGUGGCCGGGUCACACAUUAUGUUCAUGGAAGGAGCAAUGCCAGAGCUUGAGAAGCUUAAUGUGCGAUUACAUGUGCCACUGGCAAACAAAUAUGGCUUCUAUUUAGGCAUUCAGCAUCUUCCAUGUCUCGAAGAAGUAGCAGUAAGUUUUUACGAAGUGGCUGUAGCACCUUUCAAAAUCAUGGCUGCUGCUGCUGCUAUCAGAAAGGAAGCACGUGUCCACCCCAACUGUCCCACAAUUGAUAUUUCUGGGGAAUUCAGUGAAAAUGACGGUGAGAUCAGUAGUGACGACGGGGACUUGAUAUAG
rnacentral:rRNA from 1 species